CAGUCGCCACGGUAAUACGUAGGUGGCAAGCGUUGUCCGGAAUUAUUGGGCGUAAAGGGCUCGCAGGCGGUUUCUUAAGUCUGAUGUGAAAGCCCCCGGCUCAACCGGGGAGGGUCAUUGGAAACUGGGAAACUUGAGUGCAGAAGAGGAGAGUGGAAUUCCACGUGUAGCGGUGAAAUGCGUAGAGAUGUGGAGGAACACCAGUGGCGAAGGCGACUCUCUGGCCUGUAACUGACGCUGAGGAGCGAAAGCGUGGGGAGCGAACAGGAUUAGAUACCCCCGUAGUCCCUGUCUCUUAUAC
rnacentral:rRNA from 1 species